rnacentral:lncRNA from 1 species
ACCUUAUAACCAGCACCUGCUCCUUAUACAGGCCACCUUCAGAAGCCAGUUUCUUUGACCUAGGACCAGAGAUGUUGGCAUGGCGACACGACACCGAGUUGGACCUCUGACGUUACACCAAAGAAGAAGUGUUUACUUUGUACAUACACAUGCACAGGUAAGUCGAGGUAAGAUCAAAGCUCAAUUGGAUGAUUUAAUUGGACUUCUGUCCAUUACGGACUACAGAGGGGUGACACAGCUCAAGGAAGAACAUUUAUGAUCAUUGCUUUAUCAUUUCCUUGAAGUAAUAAUCACCAUAUUAAUGCCUUAGCGUCUCAGUCUGAUUGCUUCCCCAAGAAAAAAUUAUCAUAAAUGUUCUUCCUUGAGCUGCGUCACCCCGCUACAGUCGGUGAUGGACUCAUCCGAGUUCUGCCUACAAACAAGCAGCUGCUGGAAGAGAGUGGGUGAGUUGUGUUUAGUCUCUUUACUAAAAAAAUCAGACAAAGCUAAAAAGAUGUUUGGUGGCUAGUACUGUGGCUGGGACCCUGUUUGUACUGUUGAUGAAGUUAGGUGCUGUUCUGAGCAUUAUUUGUGGUUAUAGAGUGGCGUUUUGGUUGAGGCUUGUUUAUGGCUCCUUAGACCGUUGUGUAUUGCAAUUGUGCGGCCAUUACUAAAGUUGGUAUAACUAGAAAAGCAAGCAGUCUGUAACAUUAAUCUCUCGACGGGGUGUCUAACUCAGUGUUACGGUGUGUUUGACCCUAACUUAAUUUUACGCCAGAAUAUCCCUUUAAUUAAAAGCUAACUUUCCUGAAACAGUUGUUAAAUAACUCAGUAUAGACGCUGUGCAGUCUAGAUAGUCCAGGUGUGUGUGUCUGUUCUUGUGUGCAUCAUCCUGUCUGUUUUGAUUUGUACACAGCUCUGACCUCCAUCAAUCACUGUUAAGCCUGCCAGUUUGGGUUGAAUGGCCGGAACAGAGUAGUGCCUCAGCCCAGUUGUGUGGUACAGUGGCUAACAACACACAAAUGGACACACACAGGCACACACCAACACACACUUGUAGUAUAUCAACAAGCAUAUGGCCUCACAGAGACCAACAGCAGAGCCAUAAAUCAGCCCGCUUUCACACUCCUGAAGGACAAAGAGGAUAAAAUAAAAUCCUUCACUCAUAUUUUUCCACCACUUGUCACGUUCUGUGUUGUGUAAGAAACAUAAAUUUGUUUACUCGUUCUGGCUGAUUUACUGAGCCUCACAACAUAACAUCACAUGAAUCAUUUUCAUCUUUUUAUUCCCCCCGCGGUGGCUGCUGCUGACAGCUCUGUGGGUACAAAGAGGGGAGGUGUUUGCCGUGUUGGCUUUCUGCUGUUGAUGAGACAGAACUGCAGAAGGAUUUAGUAACAAUGUGUCCUAUUGUGUGGCAUCACCAGGGAGGAGGAUCCUGACUCUGGAGGUGGGGGUCUGAAUCGAGCAACGGAGGCAGUCCAAUGAGACUGCACUGCUGUAUGCAGCGGAAAAUAUCAACCUUGAAUGCUUUGUUCAAGGCGGUGUUGGAUUCCUUGGAGAGAAUUAACACCUGAACAGAUUGAGCUGGACAUGAUGCUUGUAUCAUACUGCAUUUUCUAAAAAUGUAUAAACUAACUUGUUAUUGAAUGUUUCUGUAAAAAGAAAAUAACCUUCUGGAGGGAUUAACUUUCCCUGUCCUUGGAUUUCUUACCACAAAAGUUAAAUUUUUAAUCACGAUUGCGUGUCUCUAUUUUUAACAGACAGUAUCUGACUGGUGUUGCUGUUGUUUCAUUCAAACUAGGAUGUGAAAAUCUCAAAGGGAUAAUUCUAUUAACACAAAAUAGUGGAUAUACAAACAGCUAAAAUGUUCUUCUUUGCAACAACCACGUUGUAUCAUCCUGUUUUGCAUUGCCAGCUGCCGGCUUGCCACAAAAGAGCUGUGGGUGGACGUGGUAUAAUGUUGCAGUUAUGUAUUUCAGAGAAAAAUAUCAGACCAGAAUUUAUCAAGUUUGGGACAUGACCAGAAUUGGGAGUAAAAUGAGUGUAACCUGGUGCAAUCAGGAGUAGUGAAGCCUAUAAACUGGAUUAGUUGCAGUCUGAAAUUUGAAGGACAGCUGUAAAUAUUUGUCAAGGACAUUUCCCAGUUUACUUUAGAAACUAGUGAAUAUGCUGCAAAAUAUAAGUUUAACCACUUUAUUGCCUUUUGUAUCACAUUUGAUACAUAAUUUUAUACACUUCUAACAAAUCAAUAUGAUCAACAAACUACUAAAAAAACGCCUGAAUACAGUCUGAUAAAUGGUAAAAAUGUCCUCUUCUAGUUUAUCAGUUUCCAAAAACAUCUAAUGUAUCAAACGAGAUAAAUAAAUAUAUUUGUAAAAUUUUAAGGACAUUUUGAUUUUUUUUGUUUUUCAGUAGUAAGUUAAAUAAACAUUUCAGCUCCGAAAAAAAUGGAAUUUUCUGGCCAUAAUUUGUGGUGUAAGUCGUAAAAGGGAUAAUCUGAUUUAUAUUUGGUGUAUAAAAUAUACCAUAUACAAAACAGGGAAUUGAUUACUUUGACCCUGUAAAAUUUGAUACAAACACCUCUAACCUGAAGAUAAUGUAAAAAUUAUAAAUCUUAAAAGUGUGUCCAUGCAUUUUUAUGUUAUCCAAAGCAAACAAGUCCUUCAGUAUGAUGUUUGAUUGUCUUUAUUCAGUACACGGGGUACGUUGACCAAAAACCACUUUUUUUUGGCAUGCUACAUUAUUAAGACAGUUAUGUUUACACUCAUUCUGUUGGUCUGCAGGGAUGCACAACAACUAUGCAGAUGCACUAGUUAGAGACAAAACUAUGAUUGCCCUGAUAUAGUGAUCCGAAAUAUGAAAAAUGGCUCAUCUUACCCCACUCUCCCCAACAUCAAAAUCGAAUAUCAAUAUGGAGAUUAUUUUUAUCAUUCAGAAAUGACGAUAACCAGAUAUUACUAAGCCAGACCCACCUGCUUCACUUCACAGUCUUGCUCACCCUGUGGGCAGUCUUCAUCCACUCCUUUCCUGAGAAGGAUCUGGCUGCAGACACUGUGGAUCUCCUUCAGUGCGUGCUCAGGUAAAGGUUGGAUCUCAGCUGUUGGAGGAACUUAAAGGAUCACACCAGCAAAAGUUGCUUUCUCCAGUGUAAUUUUAACUGUUUUGCGCAUUUGCCAAAAUAACCAUAAAUACCCAAAUGCUGGGGUCAGACAUAUAUAUUUACCCUUUAAAUGUUCACCUAUUCAGAAUUGGUUAUUCACUAUGAGCUUACUUACUCGGAGUGCAGUUGCAUAAUUCACUCUAAAUACCAGAAAAGUGUGAAAAUUAGAUGUAAAUGCAAUGCAAUGUGUCAAGGAAGAUGUGCUCUUGAAAGGGGAAAUAGUGAAACUGAGAUGAUAAUUCAAUAAAACAGGAAGGGAGGAAGCGUCUGGGGAGAAACUGAAGGAGACAAAACAGUGGGAAAAAAAAUGUAAAAGAUCGGAGGAAGAAAAUGAUUUCACUAUCUACAUCUACCCAAGGCGCCUAAAUAUACCUGUCUAAGGGGAGAUUUUAAGUAUCUAAAAAUAGAAAAAUCAUUGAGCCUUCCUCCUCCUGGCCUCCAGAGUCUUUCUCAGACAGAAAUGGUAAUUGGUUCCGAGAGUUUUUUGCGCUGGCACUUUUAAAUGAAUUCUUAAUUUGUGAGGCAAACAUUUGUGACGCCCCCCGAGGAUAGUGAAUCUCUGUGUGGGUGCUCUCCUGCCUUAACCCCGGGCUCUGCUGGCUUUAGCUGCCUCGAGCUGCCUCGCUGUCUUCAAAGGUGAGACGCAGAUAGCCGACAUCAGCCAUUCAGAGCACAGCACAGCACAGCCAGAGAGAGAGAGAGAGAGAGAGAGAAAGAGAGAGAGAGAGAAUGAUUUGUGUUUGGUGAAAUGUGCUGCAGAGUAUUUACUCCACACAGAGUGCAGAGACUUUUGAUACUCCAUCUAAACUUCUUUGAUUUCAAGGUUCGAGCAUGAGCAUGGGCAUGUACUGAGUUACCUGUGAGGCAGAGGAAUGAAUGUUGUUUUUGGAGACCCCUGUGGACAUUUGUGGAAGUUCGGAAAUAUGUCGUUUGGGUAAAAAGACCUUAUUCUGCUGUGUUUUUACAGUUAAAUGCAUCAUCCAUUUGAAUACUCACUUUUAAAAAUUACACCCUAGGAAUUUUUACUCUUGUUUUUAAUAGUCUUGUUUGCUUUUGUGGUUCAUGAAAACACAUUAGCAUUGAAAAUUUCUCACAGGGGCUUUAACUCUAAACAAAGCCGGUGAUGAAAAUGACAUUUAUGCUCUGUUUGCUGUGUGAUAACACCCCAAUUAUUGUACAAUUAGUUUAAUGGUGCC